AUGGCGGGCCAUAUUCGUGGGUUCACUCCCCACUUGGCCGGUGGCACCGGCAUCUCCCUGCUCUAGUACGCUGACGACACCAUCAUCAUGGUUGAAGGCUCGGACGCGGACAUCGCUAACCUUAAGUUCCUCCUCCUCUGCUUCCAACAAAUGUCUGGCCUCAAGAUCAAGUUCGAUAAGAGUGAUGUGAUGGUGAUGGGCUACUCUCCGGCCGAGGCACGCGACAUCACCAACCGCCUGAAUUGCCGCCUAGGCGCCUUCCCCACCACCUACCUGGGAACGCCCAUUAGUGACUCUCGGCUUACUGUUGUUGACCUGCAGCCGACUGUGGCCAAGUUGUAG
rnacentral:rRNA from 1 species